rnacentral:rRNA from 1 species
GUUCACCUACGGGGCGCAGCAGUAGGGAAUUUUCGUCAAUGAGCGCAAGCCUGAACGAGCGAUGCCGCGUGAGUGAAGAAGGCCUUCGGGUCGUAAAGCUCUGUUGCGGGGGAAAAAAGGCAGCAUCAGGAAAUGGGUGCUGACUGAUGGUGCCCCGCCAGAAAGUCACGGCUAACUACGUGCCAGCAGCCGCGGUGAUACGUAGGUGGCGAGCGUUAUCCGGAAUGAUUGGGCGUAAAGGGUGCGCAGGCGGUCCUGCAAGUCUGGCGUGACACGCAUGAGCUCAACUCAUGCAUGGCUUUGGA